UACGAAGGGGGCUAGCGUUGCUCGGAUUGACUGGGCGUAAAGGGCGCGUAGGCGGUUCGUACAGUCAGACGUGAAAUUCCUGGGCUCAACCUGGGGGCUGCGUUUGAUACGUGCGGGCUUGAGUUCGGAAGAGGGUCGUGGAAUUCCCAGUGUAGAGGUGAAAUUCGUAGAUAUUGGGAAGAACACCGGUGGCGAAGGCGGCGACCUGGUCCGAUACUGACGCUGAGGCGCGAAAGCGUGGGAGCAAACAGG
rnacentral:rRNA from 1 species